rnacentral:rRNA from 1 species
ACCAGCAGGAGGAUUCUAGCGAGCCCAACCUCCCACCCGUGUUUACUGUACCUUAGUUGCUUCGGCGGGCCCGCCAUUCAUGGCCGCCGGGGGCUCUCAGCCCCGGGCCCGCGCCCGCCGGAGACACCACGAACUCUGUCUGAUCUAGUGAAGUCUGAGUUGAUUGUAUCGCAAUCAGUUAAAACUUUCAACAAUGGAUCUCUUGGUUCCGGCAUCGAUGAAGAACGCAGCGAAAUGCGAUAACUAGUGUGAAUUGCAGAAUUCCGUGAAUCAUCGAGUCUUUGAACGCACAUUGCGCCCCCUGGUAUUCCGGGGGGCAUGCCUGUCCGAGCGUCAUUGCUGCCCAUCAAGCACGGCUUGUGUGUUGGGUCGUCGUCCCCUCUCCGGGGGGGACGGGCCCCAAAGGCAGCGGCGGCACCGCGUCCGAUCCUCGAGCGUAUGGGGCUUUGUCACCCGCUCUGUAGGCCCGGCCGGCGCUUGCCGAACGCAAAUCAAUCUUUUCCAGGUUGACCUCGGAUCAGGUAGGGAUACCCGCU